rnacentral:rRNA from 1 species
UGAGGAAUAUUGGUCAAUGGCCUAACGGCUGAACCAGCCAAGUCGCGUGAGGGAAGACUGCCCUAUGGGUUGUAAACCUCUUUUAUUUGGGAAGAAUAAUGACUACGUGUAGUCAGAUGCCUGUACCAAAUGAAUAAGCAUCGGCUAACUCCGUGCCAGCAGCCGCGGUAAUACGGAGGAUGCGAGCGUUAUCCGGAUUUAUUGGGUUUAAAGGGUGCGUAGGUGGUCUCUUAAGUUAGUGGUUAAAUGGUUGGGCUAAACCCAAUCUUGCCAUUAAAACUGGGAAACUCGAGUACAGACGAGGUAGGCGGAACAAGUUAAGUAGCGGUGAAAUGCAUAGAUAUAACUUAGAACUCCGAUAGCGAAGGCAGCUUACCAGACUGUGACUGACACUGAUGCACGAGAGCAUGGGUAGCAAACA